rnacentral:rRNA from 1 species
ACUCCUGCGGGAGGCAGCAGUGGGGAAUUUUGGACAAUGGGCGAAAGCCUGAUCCAGCCAUGCCGCGUGCAGGAUGAAGGCCUUCGGGUUGUAAACUGCUUUUGUACGGAACGAAACGGCCUUUUCUAAUAAAGAGGGCUAAUGACGGUACCGUAAGAAUAAGCACCGGCUAACUACGUGCCAGCAGCCGCGGUAAUACGUAGGGUGCAAGCGUUAAUCGGAAUUACUGGGCGUAAAGCGUGCGCAGGCGGUUAUGUAAGACAGUUGUGAAAUCCCCGGGCUCAACCUGGGAACUGCAUCUGUGACUGCAUAGCUAGAGUACGGUAGAGGGGGAUGGAAUUCCGCGUGUAGCAGUGAAAUGCGUAGAUAUGCGGAGGAACACCGAUGGCGAAGGCAAUCCCCUGGACCUGUACUGACGCUCAUGCACGAAAGCGUGGGGAGCAAACAGGAUUAGAAACCCGAGUAGUCCCAUG